AUAGGAAUAGCUGGGCCAAAUGGUGGUUCCAUUUCCAGUUUUCCAAGGAAUCUCCAUACUACUUUCCAAAUUGGCUGCACCAAUUUGCAGUCCCACCAGCAGU
rnacentral:pre_miRNA from 1 species